rnacentral:rRNA from 1 species
CACGUAGGGCGCAAGCGUUGUCCGGAAUUAUUGGGCGUAAAGAGCUCGUAGGCGGUUCAGCAAGUCGGGUGUGAAAACUCUGGGCUCAACCCAGAGACGCCACCCGAUACUGCUGUGACUAGAGUCCGGUAGGGGAGUGGGGAAUUCCUGGUGUAGCGGUGAAAUGCACAGAUAUGUCAUAGAAUACCGAUUGCGAAGGCAGCUGACUAGACCUAUAUUGACGCUGAGGCACGAAAGCGUGGGGAGCGAACAGG